rnacentral:rRNA from 1 species
AUACGGAGGGUCCGAGCGUUAAUCGGAAUUACUGGGCGUAAAGCGCGCGUUGGUGGAUGUAUAAGUCAGAUGUGAAAGCCCUGGGCUCAACCUAGGAACUGCAUUUGAAACUGUACGUCUAGAGUAUGGUAGAGGUGAGUGGAAUUUCAGGUGUAGCGGUGAAAUGCGUAGAGAUCUGAAGGAACAUCAGUGGCGAAGGCGACUCACUGGGCCAUUACUGACACUGAGGUGCGAAAGCGUGGGUAGCAAACAGGAUUAGAAACCCGAGUAGUCCC